rnacentral:rRNA from 1 species
CCUACGGGAGGCAGCAGUGGGGAAUAUUGCACAAUGGGGGAAACCCUGAUGCAGCGACGCCGCGGGAGUGAAGAAGUAUUUCGGUACGUAAAGCUCUAUCAGCAGGGAAGAAAAUGACGGUACCUGACUAAGAAGCCCCGGCUAACUACGUGCCAGCAGCCGCGGUAAUACGUAGGGGGCAAGCGUUAUCCGGAUUUACUGGGUGUAAAGGGAGCGUAGACGGCAGCGCAAGUCUGGAGUGAAAUCCCAUGGCUUAACCAUGGAACUGCUUUGGAAACUGUGCAGCUAGAGUGCAGGAGAGGUACGCGGAAUUCCUAGUGUAGCGGUGAAAUGCGUAGAUAUUAGGAGGAACACCAGUGGCGAAGGCGGCUUACUGGACUGUAACUGACGUUGAGGCUCGAAAGCGUGGGGAGCAAACAGGAUUAGAUACCCUAGUAGUC